GACGAACGCUGGCGGCGUGCUUAACACAUGCAAGUCGAACGGAAAGGCCCUUCGGGGUACUCGAGUGGCGAACGGGUGAGUAACACGUGGGUGAUCUGCCCUGCACUUUGGGAUAAGCCUGGGAAACUGGGUCUAAUACCGAAUAGGACCACGCGCUUCAUGGUGUGUGGUGGAAAGCUUUUGCGGUGUGGGAUGGGCCCGCGGCCUAUCAGCUUGUUGGUGGGGUAAUGGCCUACCAAGGCGACGACGGGUAGCCGGCCUGAGAGGGUGACCGGCCACACUGGGACUGAGAUACGGCCCAGACUCCUACGGGAGGCAACAGUGGGGAAUAUUGCACAAUGGGCGCAAGCCUGAUGCAGCGACGCCGCGUGAGGGAUGACGGCCUUCGGGUUGUAAACCUCUUUCAAUAGGGACGAAGCGCAAGUGACGGUACCUAUAGAAGAAGCACCGGCCAACUACGU
rnacentral:rRNA from 1 species